rnacentral:rRNA from 1 species
CAGUCGCCGCGGUAAUACGAAGGGGGCUAGCGUUGUUCGGAAUAACUGGGCGUAAAGGGCGCGUAGGCGGAUCUUUAAGUCAGGGGUGAAAUCCCAAGGCUCAACCUUGGAACUGCCUUUGAUACUGGAGAUCUUGAGUCCGGGAGAGGUGAGUGGAACUGCGAGUGUAGAGGUGAAAUUCGUAGAUAUUCGCAAGAACACCAGUGGCGAAGGCGGCUCACUGGCCCGGUACUGACGCUGAGGCGCGAAAGCGUGGGGAGCAAACAGGAUUAGAUACCCCGGUAGUCCCUGUCUCUUAUAC